AUUGAACGCUGGCGGCAUGCCUAACACAUGCAAGUCGAACGGCAGCACAGAUAUAGUUUACUAUAUUGGGUGGCGAGUGGCGGACGGGUGAGUAACGCGUGGGUAUAUGACCUAAUGACGGGGACAACUUGCGGAAACGCGAGCUAAUACCGGAUAAGCUCUGAGGAGGAAAGCUGGGGAUCUGGCGACAGACCUGGCGCUUUAGGAGUAACCUGCGUCCAAUUAGCUAGUUGGUAGGGUAAAGGCCUACCAAGGCGACGAUUGGUAGCUGGUCUGAGAGGACGGACAGCCACACUGGGACUGAGACACGGCCCAGACUCCUACGGGAGGCAGCAGUGGGGAAUAUUGGACAAUGGGGGGGACCCUGAUCCAGCAAUGCCGCGUGUGUGAAGAAGGUCUUCGGAUCGUAAAGCCCUGUCAGGAGGGACGAAACAAAUGACGGUACCUCCAAAGGAAGCACUGGCUAACUCCGUGCCAGCAGCCGCGGU
rnacentral:rRNA from 1 species